UAAGCCCCAAAUGAUAUUGCCUCGAUCUGUCUCAAACGUCUCGACUCUUCCUCUAUCUUCUUCGUUUCACCCCUUCUUCGAUCUCCUUAACCUUCACGUUUCCUUUUCUUUAAAUGAUCGUCGAUCAAUCGACGCAUAACUCCUUCUUCUAUAAUCAAUCCUUCAUCACAUUAAUGGCUUUGUUUGGCCUUUCUCCAUCCAAGUCAUGUCGAACGCUGUAUUUCGAAUACUCCAACAGAUUAAUUUGAAAAAUACCGUGUUGAAGACAAAUCAGUAGCAAAUGUUUACAGAAAACCGACAGCUUACCAUAAUCUUCUGGUAUCUCUUGGUUUGUCUAACAAGGUUGUUUCUGACAUGAACAGAAGAAGGCAGAGAGAUGAGCAAGUUAGAAGCGACACAGAAGAUGCGGAUGAUGAAGACGAGGAAAACAGUGCUUCUGAGGAUAGAAGCUCUACAGAUGGAGAGGAUGAUGAGGAAGAAGAUUCUGAGUGUUCUGACACAGACGAGGAGAAUUAGUUGAGUACCAAUGGCCAAUCUUCUGUAGUUGCUUCUUCAUCUACCAGUGCAUUUAGUGAGCACAUUGGCCAUACUUUAUUAAGUGAAGAAGUGGAAACACGUCUGGAGAUUUAAAUGGAAAGCACCUGCCAUUGGCAUGCCAAAUUGCAGCUGGAAAGGAACUAGACAAAAAAAAUUUUGAUGAAGCUGGAGGGGAGAAGUUUGGCUCAUCUGCAAGGAGAAGAUUCUUCUCCAUUUGCAACAGCUAUAUGGAUAUUUUGCAUUCUAACAAGAAACCCUUUUACAAUGGAGACCGUGGAGAAGGUUGAUUACUGAAGUUCGAAACUUGGAACAUGAAUCUGUGAGUUGUGUCUAAAUCUCGAUGCUUUGUUCGUUUGUUUCGGUGUCAGACGAAAUCAAGGCUACAGAUGUUGAUGUGAUCCCCAAGAUACCGUUAUUUUGAUCAAAAUCGAUCCGACGACUUCCGUUAGUGACGUAGCUUCAUCACAUAUACAAAUAUCAUGCUACUUAAAUAUUCCCUUACACAAUAGUGAUAUGUUAUUUCUUUCAUUCUAAAGUUUUUAGUUUUAAAUGAAAGACACCUUAUGGAGGCUGUUUCCGAAAGGGUAUGGUGCCAGGUGCCAACACAUCACUCCCAUACCUUGAUGCUUACCUUCAGAUCAGGCUCUGUUUUUUUUCUUAUAAAAAGGAUUGUCUUUUAAGUGUUUAUGCAGGAUGAAGAGAAGCUUAGAAACAUCGAAAUCUGUGACAUGCUUUCAUAGCAGCGUCUCAUCGCCUUGCUGAUUUCAUCUUCUCGCCUGGCAACCAUUGCCUGCAAUGGAGUGACAGAGAGAGAAUAGACGUUAAGCUGUGAUGCUAAAGUCAGAGUUCUUAGGUUUCUCCGACCGGUUUGUACAGCGAGAUGUGAUGCUAAGGAGUUUAAUGACGUCAUCCAGACGCUUGGGUUUGUUCGACACGAGAACUUGGUUCCUCUGUUGGGUUUCUACGGUGGAAACAGAGGAGAGAAGCUUAUGGUUCAUCCUUUCUUCUCUUCCGGGGAUCUCUCUGACUUCAUCAAAAGUUUCUUAGGUGUUCCACUAGACUGAUGGACCCUGGAGGAUACCUAGAGGGAAAGAUGAAGUAGAUGACAUCAAUGGUUAGGAAGGUGAGUUCAUGAUGGAUGAUUUAUUGGAAGAGCGAGGAGAUGGAAAUGACAAGGAAGGUGCACUGAUAAUGCAGAAGCAAUGGAAGCCGACAUGAAACAUUAGGACGUCAAAGUUUGAGUUAGAGAACGCUGAGAUAUAUUGUAUCAAAUAUUACAAUUUCUGUUAAUCGAUCGGUCACUUUUAUUCGAAGCAACCAAUUUUCAGUUAUAGAAGUUUUUUUUGGUAAUCGAGUAAAUGAAAAACAUAAAGUCAGACUGUUUCUUAUC